UACGUAGGUGGCAAGCGUUGUCCGGAUUUACUGGGUGUAAAGAGCGCGCAGGCGGUCGUUCAAGUCGCGUGUGAAAGCCCCCGGCUCAACUGGGGAGGGUCACGCGAUACUGAUCGACUCGAAGGCAGGAGAGGGUAGUGGAAUUCCCGGUGUAGUGGUGAAAUGCGUAGAUAUCGGGAGGAACACCAGUGGCGAAGGCGGUUGCCUGGAGCUUUGCUGACGCUGAGGCGCGAAAGCGUGGGGAGCGAUCCGG
rnacentral:rRNA from 1 species